AAUUGAGGAUGACAAACCCAAGGGCUUGUUUCUCAAAAUAUUCGCAGUGGCCGGCUGAGGGCUUUCGCCUCGCCGGGCUUGAGAGCCUUUGCUGCUCGAUCCUUCCUUGGAUGUCUGAGAUC